UACGUAGGGGCAAGCGUUGUUCGGAUUCAUUGGGCGUAAAGGGCGCGUAGGCGGCGGGGUAAGUCUGGUGUGAAAUCUCGGAGCUCAACUCCGAAAUUGCACUGGAUACUGCUCUGCUUGAGGGUUGGAGAGGAGAUCGGAAUUCACGGUGUAGCAGUGAAAUGCGUAGAUAUCGUGAGGAAGACCAGUGGCGAAGGCGGAUCUCCUGGACGAAAUCCUGACGCUGAGGCGACGAAGGCUAGGGGAGCAAACGGG
rnacentral:rRNA from 1 species